rnacentral:rRNA from 1 species
GACGAACGCUGGCGGCGUGCCUAAUACAUGCAAGUCGAGCGAACGGACGAGAAGCUUGCUCCUCUGAUGUUAUCGGCCGACGGGAGAGUAACAUGUGGACAACCUACCUAUAAGACUGGGAUAACUUCGGGAAACCGGAGCUUAUACCGGAUAAUAUUUUGAACCGCAUGGUUCAAAAGUGAAAGACGGUCUUGCUGUCACUUAUAGAUGGACCCGCGCUGCAUUAGCUAGUUGGUAAGGUAACGGCUUACCAAGGCAACGAUGCAUAGCCGACCUGAGAGGGUGAUCGGCCACACGGGAACUGAGACACGGUCCAGACUCCUACGGGAGGCAGCAGUAGGGAAUCUUCCGCAAUGGGCGAAAGCCUGACGGAGCAACGCCGCGUAAGUGAUGAAGGUGUUCGGAUCGUAAAACUCUGUUAUUAGGAGAGAACAUAUGUGUAAGUAACUGUGCACAUCUUGACGGUACCUGAUCAGAAAGCCACGGCUAACUACGUG